CGGCUGGUAGCGUAAGGGGAAACGCACCAGGAAGGCAAAGCCUGUGUUAGCGGGGUUCAAGUCCCCGCCCAGCCGUCCA
rnacentral:tRNA from 1 species